rnacentral:rRNA from 1 species
UACAGAGGUCCCAAGCGUUGUUCGGAUUCACUGGGCGUAAAGGGUGCGUAGGCGGUCGGGUAAGUCUGAUGUGAAAUCUCACAGCUUAACUGUGAAACUGCAUUGGAUACUAUUCGGCUUGAGAGUUGGAGGGGGAACUGGAAUUCUUGGUGUAGCAGUGAAAUGCGUAGAUAUCAAGAGGAACACCAGUGGCGAAGGCGAGUCCCUGGACAACUUCUGACGCUGAGGCACGAAAGCUAGGGGAGCAAACAGG